AAGUAUUACAUAAACUAUUUUUUAAUACCUUAUCUUUCAAAGAUAUAUUUAAAAUGUCCAAUGUAUAUAUACUUGUGAUGAAAUAAUAUUAAUUGGGGACUUGGGAGAUGAUUUGGUGCCUUAUGAAAACUUUUAUCAAUAAUGGACAACAUGCUAAUUUCUCACACAAGGCAACAAUUGUGCCUUCCAUAUGUCUAAGGAUGAUGGGCUAACAUCCAACAAUGAAGCCAAACGCCAACUUGCUGGGAGGUGGUUAUGGACAAGGGGCUAGUGCACCCAAGAUGGAGUAAAACAACACUCAUUUUUAAUACUUUUAAGUGUGGACAAUCAGGACGUAGUUCUUUUCGCUAGUUUGGACAUCAAUCCACAGUUAAAGUAAAUUUGGCUGAGGAAGGAGAAUUAUUUAUGACACUUCCGACUGUAUGAAAGCCAAGUAUGGCACAAAAAUAUCAAGAACAUGCAUAAGACUAUCCUUUUUCGUUUCUUCUUCCUUUCUUUUGUUUAAAUUCAUGUAAGUACUCUUAAGUGACUUAGUACCUAUUGUAUGAAGCACUCUGUUACACCUUGCAUUGUUGACUUCUAACGUGCGUAUUUUGCCUGCUAGUCAAUGUUAAAUCAAUACAUGCUUGUGAUGUUCCGAGAACAUGAAUAGCAAUAUGGUCAUUUUGUGUAUUGAAGCUCUUUCUUUCUCAAAGAAUAGUUUUCCAGUCAUUUAUGGUUUCUAUCCUUGUGAGUGCUCUUGAUGCAUCUUUUUGACAAUUGGUUUCUAUCAGUAAAUGUUAAACCGGCGUUUGGGUGAAUGGCUAGCAUCAUGGGUUUGCUCCCCAUAAACGCAAGUUUGAUUCCUCUUCCCGUGAUUUACCCAAUGCACGUGGUUUGCAGGUGAUUGCGUGCAUCUCCAGGGAUUAGUCUUGCCUUAAAAAGGAGUGGGACACCCUGUUGUCAUUAAAGAAAAAUCAGUAAAUGCUAAACCAAAGGAAGAUAAUUAUGACACUGAUUUGUAUCUAAUUUCAAUGUUCCUACCUGUAGGUGUUGAGCCAAAAGUCACUAUCUCACCGGAAAGCUUUGAUGAAGUGCAAGUGUGGUUUUGUUAUUUCUUUAACUCUGCGUGAAAGCAACUGAUCUUAUCUCUUUUCACAAAUUCAAACAACAGAAUCUUUUUGUUUCCUUAAUGUUUUCCUUUAAUCUAUGAACUUUGCAGUUUUGCGUUCAGAAUGUUUUCGUUUUUGAACUUCAUGAUUUGCUACAGAUGCAUCAGGCAAUAUGAUACCUGGAGUUGAUGUUGUUCAUAAUUGACGGCAGUUUUUUCAUCUUACAGCAACAGAUAGCAAUGCUGACAUUAGCAGAGGACCACAAAUACAAAUAGGCAUACAAACCUUGAAUUCUCAGAUACAAAGUCAAGCUCAAGUAUUUGGUAUCUAUCAAUCUUCUAACAGAAGGUUGCAUUCUACAAGUACAUAUUUAUUAGCAUAUUUCAUCGCCAAGUAAUCUAGGCCAUCCCUCUUUUCUAACCCACCAAAGUGGAUGAUUGAACCGAACCAUGAAAGACGGACAAUUAUUAUUGUUGAUUUUUCUACUUGAACAUGAGCUUGUUGGCCUGUUUUCCUUU